ensembl:lncRNA
GUGCAUUUCGCCGGCACAACGCGAAGCAAGUAUUCAAAACGCUACCGUGAACAACAUGUGGAUAUAAAGGUUUUGACUGUGGGAGCUUCGGUGUGGGAGUUAUAGCCCAAAACGCGUUUUCAGAACAUUCCAUUGGCCAAAUAGGAGAUAGACAAUGUCGUUGUUUUUUGGCGCCGCCCUGUGGCGAAAUUUUUAAUUUUCCAAAGACAAUUUUCCUUUGCCAAAUAACUCCCGCCCACAUUAAUAAUUCUUGGCCAUAUUUUCUAUAUAGACUCGGGUUUGCCCCUUGAUGGUUUCCCUUGAGUUUGAAGAACAUUCCUUCAGCCAAUUAGAAGAUAUACAAUUUCCUCGUUUAUUGCGCCCCCUAAUGGCGAAAUUUUCCGAAAUUUUUAUCGAACGACAUUAAGGUUAG